rnacentral:tRNA from 2 species
GCCGAAGUGGCGGAACUUGGCAGACGCGCUGGAUUCAGGUUCCAGUGAGUUUAACGCUCGUGGGGGUUCAAAUCCCCCCUUCGGCACCA